rnacentral:rRNA from 1 species
ACGAACGCUGGCGGCAGGCUUAACACAUGCAGGUCGAACGGGCGUCGCAAGACGUCAGUGGCAGACGGGUGGGUAACACGUGGGAACGUGCCCAUCGGUUCGGACUAACCCAGGGAAACUUGGGCUAAUGCCGGAUACGCCUUGGCGCAAGCUGGGGGAAAGAUUGAUUUGCCGAUGGAUCGGCCCGCGUCUGAUUAGCUUGUUGGUGGGGUAACGGCUCACCAAGGCGACGAUCAGUAGCUGGUCUGAGAGGAUGAUCAGCCACACUGGGACUGAGACACGGCCCAGACUCCUACGGGAGGCAGCAGUGGGGAAUAUUGGACAAUGGGCGCAAGCCUGAUCCAGCCAUGCCGCGUGAGUGAUGAAGGCCCUAGGGUUGUAAAGCUCUUUCGCACGCGACGAUAAUGACGGUAGCGUGAGAAGAAGCCCCGGCUAACUUCGU